rnacentral:tRNA from 1 species
GCCAGUGUGGCAUAGCAGUUUGAGCAUUGGACUGCGACUCUGGAGGUCAGGGUUCAAAUCCCGGCUCAGCCA